AUUCAGAGGGGGGGGUAGAAUUCCAACGUGUAGCAAGUGAAAAUGCGUAGAGAAUGUGGAGGGAAUACCCGAUGGCGAAGGCAGCCCCCUGGGAUAACACUGACGCUCAUGCACGAAAGCGUGGGGAGCAAACAGGAUUAGAUACCCUGGUAGUCCACGCCCUAAACGAUGUCUACUAGUUGUCGGGUCUUAAUUGACUUGGUAACGCAGCUAACGCGUGAAGUAGACCGCCUGGGGAGUACGGUCGCAAGAUUAAAACUCAAAGGAAUUGACGGGGACCCGCACAAGCGGUGGAUGAUGUGGAUUAAUUCGAUGCAACGCGAAAAGCCUUACCUACCCUUGACAUGUACGGAAUCCUUCAGAGAUGAGGGAGUGCUCGAAAGAGAACCGUAACACAGGUGCUGCAUGGCUGUCGUCAGCUCGUG
rnacentral:rRNA from 1 species